rnacentral:lncRNA from 1 species
GAGAACAAAAUCCCCAAUAAAGUACCAUACCUACCUAAUAUAUCAACCUACCCUAAAUCACCAUGCACCAUCGCCUUCGUACCAAGAUCCACCGCCUACUUACCAGUCAUCUCCACCUCCCACAUAUCAAAUUACCUCACCGAGAUAUUCCAAACUCGCACAUGUCUACCAAGCUUACAACACUCAACCCCUCAUUAUCAAUCAUCUCCCGCUCGUCAAAACUUUCCCAGACCUCGACCAAACUUUGACCGCAGGCCUCCAAAACAAUAUACCGCCAUUGCGGAACCGAUCGACC